rnacentral:sRNA from 1 species
UCCUGAAUCACACUUGGCUCCCCCUGCCUGGAACGCUUUUUCCCUGCACACCCCUCCCCCGCGCCUCUUCAUUCUUAGGGGUCUACCAGACCUCCACUUCAGCCACACCUCUUCAGGAAGCUUUCCCUCAUCCCCGCACCCCCACCCCACAUACCAAGUAUGACGGCCUUGGCUCUCCCUAAGUCGGAGUGCCUUGGGGGAGGGCCCCGUGGGUUGUUCCCCGUUGUCUCCCUGUGGGGGGUGCACAGUACAUGCCUUAGGGUCGUGGAAAGGCUGACUUCUGGGCGGCAGGUGGCUCUGGAGGACGUCUUCCCAGGGAUCCCGAGGGAGGGAAGAAUGGGGCACAGCCACAGUGACUCUCCCCCUGCCUUUCAGCUACGUGUGGGAGCACCUGGACGUGGGGUAUGUGCAGGGCAUGUGCGAUCUGCUGGCGCCUCUCCUGGUCACCCUCGACAAUGAUCAGCUGGCCUACAGCUGCUUCAGCCACCUCAUGAAGAGGAUGAGCCAGAACUUCCCCAACGGGGGUGCCAUGGACACCCACUUUGCCAACAUGCGCUCCCUCAUCCAGAUCCUGGACUCAGAGCUGUUUGAGCUGAUGCAUCAGAAUGGAGACUACACCCACUUCUACUUCUGUUAUCGCUGGUUCCUGCUGGAUUUUAAGAGAGAACUGCUGUAUGAGGAUGUGUUUGCUGUGUGGGAGGUCAUCUGGGCAGCCAGGCACAUCUCAUCGGAGCACUUUGUCCUGUUCAUCGCCCUCGCCCUGGUGGAGGCCUACCGAGAGAUCAUCCGUGACAACAACAUGGACUUCACUGACAUCAUCAAGUUUUUCAAUGAACGUGCUGAGCAUCACGAUGCCCAGGAGAUCCUGCGGAUUGCCCGGGACCUCGUCCACAAGGUGCAGAUGCUCAUAGAGAACAAGUGAGCUGGGGCCAGGAGGCAGCAGCCACGCAGAGCCUGGGCUCCGGCAGGGAGAGGUGCAGGGGAGUCACCGCCCAGACCUCCCCAGCCACCAACCGACCCCACCUCUGUUCCUAACAAAGCGGUUGUGAGCCUGGAUCCGACUCCUGGCAGUGCUGACCCUGCAGGGCAAAUCAGGGGCCAGGAUGCCCUCGGAUCAGGGCCGGGAUGGGAGGGGUCAGCCUCAGGGAGCAGCUGCCUUGGGGGACACACCUACUCUGCUCCCCUCUCACACAUCUGGGAGUAGCCCCACUGCCACCUGCAGCCUCAGCCUGGACUGCUGCCCAUGAGUGAACCUGGGGCCCCACAGGAUUAACAGGGGCUAUAGUGGCCUGGGCCCUACUCAGCUGGGGUGGCAGAGGGCAAGAGGCUCUGUGCUGUGUCCCUUCUGAGGGUCCCUUUGCAGUCCCAGUAUAUUGUGCGUGCACCAGCCCCAGCUGGAGCAACCAGAACUGCUUCCGGUUUAGGCACACGUCCCGGGUGCGGGAGACCCGGGCGCGGGAGACCCGGGCCGCCUUCAGGCCGCUCCCCCGAGAUUCUGGGGCAGUCGGAAGAUGUGGGCCCUGGGUGGGAACAGCCCACUUCAGCAGCACUGCCACCGCCUUUGGCCACCUGAGGUGACCCCCAGGCCUCCCCGGCCCUGUACAGUGUACCUCUGUGUAUCUGUACGGCCUCGCUCCUGCCACCCCACCCUCGCGUUCUGCAUUAGGUACUUCCCUGAAAACCACGUGUAAGUAAGUGAUGCUUUUGCCAGUGGAUGAUCUGGCAUGCGACCGGAGCACUUGCUCUGAGGAAUCCCAGGGUGACUGUGUCGGGGAGCAAUCCGGUCACAGCCUCCCCUCAGAGACAGGCCUCAGUUCUAGGGCAGCCCAUUAUCUGUCGCAGACAUCAUCUGCCAUGUCCCUGAGACUGCGGGAGGCAGGGGAUGCAUGGGUGUCCCCAUCUGUCCCUGGUGAGAAGCAAGGCUAGCUCUGCCUUCCACAUGCUUCUCAGGAUGCCAAGAGGCCUAGGAACCCAGAAACCGCCUUGGAGGAGCUGUGUACACGGGGGUGCCAGGAAGGGCAUAGCUCCUGCCCCCAGGCCUAGGCAUGCUGCUUGCUCGGCCAUCCCCACUUCCUCCUCUACCCCAACACAUGCAGGCUAGGCCUUGCCCUGGAACGUGGAGGCCCUGCCCGGGGCUGGGGCCUGUCCAGCAGCCACCAAAGUCUGGCAGAUUUUCUGCAUUUGAGAAACAUGACAAAGGGCCUCGCAGCCCUUCUGCACCCAGCACAGCCUGCCCAGCCCAGCCCUGCCCCCGGGCACUGCACAGCCUGUCUGGGGGCCAGACCACCCCAUUGUCCAUGCUUGUUGUCCAUGAGUCCUUGGCCUCCACCAAGCAUGUGUGGCCAUUGUGUGCCUGCCUUAGUGACUCCGUGGUUUUGUGAGGAGCAGAGUGUGUAUGAUUUUUGCCUCAGAAACUAUACUCUUCUGUGUAACAGACCAAUAAACAGCAUUUGUC